UCCCCUAGUAGCGGCGAGCGAAGCGGGAAGAGCUCAAAUUUAUAAUCUGGCACCUUCGGUGUCCGAGUUGUAAUCUCUAGAAGUGUUUUCCGCGUUGGACCGCACACAAGUCUGUUGGAAUACAGCGGCAUAGUGGUGAAACCCCCGUAUAUGGUGCGGACGCCCAGCGCUUUGUGAUACACUUUCAAUGAGUCGAGUUGUUUGGGAAUGCAGCUCAAAUUGGGUGGUAAAUUCCAUCUAAAGCUAAAUAUUGGCGAGAGACCGAUAGCGAACAAGUACCGUGAGGGAAAGAUGAAAAGCACUUUGGAAAGAGAGUUAACAGUACGUGAAAUUGUUGGAAGGGAAACGCUUGAAGUCAGACUUGCUUGCCGGAGCUUGCUUCGGUUUGCAGGCCAGCAUCAGUUUUCCGGGGUGGAUAAUGACGGUUUGAAGGUAGCAGUCUCGGCUGUGUUAUAGCUUUCCGUUGGAUACAUCCUGGGGGACUGAGGAACGCAGCGUGCUUUUUGCGAAAGACUCGUCUUUUUCACGCUUAGGAUGCUG
rnacentral:rRNA from 1 species